AUGGCCACAUCUCAUUGAAACACCAGUUCCCGUACAAUCAUCAAAUUUAAGCAACAUCGUGCCUGGUCAGUACCUAUGUGGGUGACCACUUGGGAAUACUAGGUGCUGUAAG